rnacentral:rRNA from 1 species
UACACACCGCCCGUCACACCAUGGGAGUCAGCUGUACCGGAAGUCGGUGAGCCAACCCGCAAGGGGGGCAGCCGCCUAUGGUAUGGCCGGUAACUGGGGUG